rnacentral:rRNA from 1 species
GACGGAGGGUGCAAGCGUUGCUCGGAAUCAUUGGGCGUAAAGGGUGCGUAGGCGGCUUUUUAAGUCUGACGUGAAAGCCCAGGGCUUAGCCUUGGAAGUGCGCCAGAAACUGGAAGGCUAGAGUGCCGGAGGGGAGAGUGGAAUUCCUGGUGUAGCGGUGAAAUGCGUAGAUAUCUGGAGGAACACCGGUGGCGAAGGCGGCGACCUGGGUGGAUACUGACGCUGAGGCGCGAAAGCGUGGGGAGCAAACAGG